rnacentral:tRNA from 1 species
GUAAAUAUAACUUAAUUAAAGUAUUAGAUUGUGAAUCUAAAGAUAGAGAUUAAUCCCCUCUUAUUUACC